rnacentral:lncRNA from 1 species
AUUCUAAUUAUUAUUUUGUAGUUUUUUUGUUUGCUUGAAUUUUUGUACUAAGCUUUGAUAAAACCCUUUGGAACAAGUAUAUUCCUCAGCUUUUUGUCCAAGGAUUGACUUAUUUACUAUGCUUAUUUACACAUGAACAUAAACUAUAUUUAUGUUGUUCUUUACUACUGGAAGAAUAGAAGGUGUUUUUGUGAGUCAGUUGCGACAUGAUUUUUCAUUUUAUGCUUUCCAUGGAAUAGAAAUUUUUAUGUCAUGGUUUGUUUUUUUUUUAAUAUCGCGAAUCUGUUUUGAAGAGAUUCAGAUUUCAGUUUAAAAAUGUUGGGUAAGAUACUCCAAAAAGCAAUGUUUUUUUUUAACUUGAAGGAUGUACUGAUACUUAUUUCUGAGGUUACACAUUGGUAAAUUUAAAAAAUAACCUUUAAAGCAAGUUUUUUGUAACCAAAGGAAAACCAGAAAAUUCUGUUGGUGUAAAUCAGAGGCAGGGAUAAAAAGAAAUAAUAAUAAUAAGAAAGGCAGGGAAUGAAUUAGAUGAAAACCAGAGGAAAACAUUGCUAUUAUAAUCAUGCUACACACACACACGGGGGAAGGCUCUUCUUGCAAAACACACACUUAAAAAAGCGGGGAUUUACUACGCACCACAAACAACAUAACCUGCUGUUUACUACAAGAAGAGUAAACAAACACUAGGAACCAACUCACAGCUCCUUUUCAUGCAAUUCCUCUCUCUGCUGGCAGGCCAGGGCUGCAUCUCUGAAAACAUAUUGGAAAUAAAUCACAAGAAGCUCCAUUCAGAUGAAGCAAAGCGUUGUAAAUAUGAAUUAAUCAUGUGUGAAUGGCCAGCAAAGACGGGCCGUGUGUCUUCCUCACGCAAAGCAAUGAUUUGAUGGAGCCAGCCUCUUCCUCUGAAUAAUACAUGGAUUGUUUUUGCUUGGGAGAGACACGAGGGAAUCAGAACGCCAGGAUGGUUCGAGUUGGGAGGGACAUUGCACUUUUGGGGGCGUCUCCAUCCAGGGAAUUUCGAGGGAAAGCGAAGUGUUUAUCCUGCUGGGAACCACGAGAGCGCAGCAUUGCCCUUCGCUAGGCUGCUGCUCACAGGGAGAAUGCGGGUUCCUUGUAGGUGAACGCAAAUUACACAACCCACGAGGUGGAAAGUGGAAAGUCCUGCGCUUUCUUGACGGAAUACAGGCCGUUGUGAGUCACCAUCAGGGCCAGGAUGGCCAGGUCAGACAAGGAUGUCUUCAGGGAGCCAGCAGGGCUCUGCAUGUGCUGAAUGGAGUGGUCCCAAACUCCUCAGGAAUAAGUGACUGCAUCAGAGAGAAGAGAGGGAAUCGGGUUCAAAAGCAGGGCUGGGUGGAAUCUGCAUUUCUGUGACCUCCUGGGAAGUGAAGUGCCUGGUGGCCAGUGGUCCCUGCACACCAGAGCCAGCUCCACCACCUCUGUGUGCUCCAGCGUUUUCCUCUGGAUCCCAUGGCCACGCUCCUGAGACGAGUGCCUGUGCCAUUCAUCACACCGGCAGCACGAGAGCAACUGGAAAAAGUGUCUGGAAUUUAUCACCGAUGGCAGGAGCCUUUGUCUGUAAUAAAAAACAUUUU